GUGGGGAAUCUUGCGCAAUGGGCGAAAGCCUGACGCAGCCAUGCCGCGUGAAUGAUGAAGGUCUUAGGAUUGUAAAAUUCUUUCACCGGGGACGAUAAUGACGGUACCCGGAGAAGAAGCCCCGGCUAACUUCGUGCCAGCAGCCGCGGUAAUACGAAGGGGGCUAGCGUUGCUCGGAAUUACUGGGCGUAAAGGGCGCGUAGGCGGACAGUUUAGUCAGAGGUGAAAGCCCAGGGCUCAACCUUGGAAUUGCCUUUGAUACUGGCUGUCUUGAGUGCGGGAGAGGUGAGUGGAACUCCGAGUGUAGAGGUGAAAUUCGUAGAUAUUCGGAAGAACACCAGUGGCGAAGGCGACUCACUGGCCCGUUACUGACGCUGAGGCGCGAAAGCGUGGGGAGCAAACAGGAUUAGAUACCCUAGUAGUCC
rnacentral:rRNA from 1 species